rnacentral:rRNA from 1 species
UACGUAGGGGGCUAGCGUUGUCCGGAAUUACUGGGCGUAAAGCGCGUGUAGGCGGUUGUUCAAGUCAGGUGUGAAAGCCUUGAGCUCAACUCAAGAAAUGCACUUGAUACUGGAUGACUAGAGGACCGGAGAGGAUAGUGGAAUUCCCAGUGUAGUGGUGAAAUACGUAGAGAUUGGGAAGAACACCAGUGGCGAAGGCGGGUCUCUGGACAGUUCCUGACACUGAGGCACGAAGGCCAGGGGAGCAAACGGG